rnacentral:rRNA from 1 species
GUCUACGGCCAUACUACCCUGAACAAGUCCAACCCCAUCUCAUCUUGGAAGCUAAGUAGAGUCGGGCCUGGUUAGUACUGGAUAGGAAGACCAGGUGCUGUAGGCA